UAGGGCGCAAGCGGUGUCCGGAAUUAUUGGGCGUAAAGGGCUCGUAGGCGGUCUGUCGCGUCGGGAGUGAAAACUCAGGGCUUAACCCUGAGCCUGCUUCCGAUACGGGCAGACUAGAGGUAUGCAGGGGAGAACGGAAUUCCUGGUGUAGCGGUGAAAUGCGCAGAUAUCAGGAGGAACACCGGUGGCGAAGGCGGUUCUCUGGGCAUUACCUGACGCUGAGGAGCGAAAGUGUGGGGAGCGAACAGG
rnacentral:rRNA from 1 species